GUCUAUGACUUUAUCACAUGCAAUUUUAUACCAACUUUUUCAAAAUCUUUUACACAACCAUGACAGAGGCAAUACCUGUUACACUUUAUUGUCUCAUGCAUAUAUUCAUUUUUUUUUUAAAUACUUCAUCUCAUAAACAUAGAUAAAAUCCAGUCUGAUGGGGCCGAUGGAUCUCUGUAUAGAAAAAAAAAAAAAAAGUUUAUUUUAUCUGUCCUUGUUUCUAUGUGUUUGUUGUGAUGUUUUGUUAGUUUUCUUCACAUACAUAUCAGGACCUAGUGAUUUCUUACUAGGCUUCUACAACUUUGCAGCACCACACAGUUUACCAUUAGCAUUCAGAGCUGAAAGGAUCUUGCUAACAAGGACAACGGCUUAAGUGUUUUGCCAUGCUGUCAUUGCUGUGUCAGACUUUCUGGAAUUUUGUUAAACACUUCCAUACUUCUCAGUCUCAUACUGAUUUAUGUCAUUUCCAAGUCUGUUAGCUUGAGGACAACGUGCAAGAGAAAUUUAUAUCUUCAAUUUAUAGGUAUAACUAUAAAAAAAAGAAAGAAAGAAAGAAAGAAGGAAAAAAAAAGAAUAUUCUGUCAUUAUUUACUCAACUUCAUGUUGUUCCAAACUUGUUUAUCUUUUAUCUGUAGAACACAAAAGAAGAAGCUUUGAACAAUGUCUGUGCUGCUCUUUUCCGCACUAUGAAAGUUCAUGGAGAUAAACUGGAAAAGAACAUGGGAAGCUCCAGCCCCAACCAGCCACGGCAGAAAUUCUGUGGCAUGUUCUGCCCGGUGGAGGGUUCGGCCGAGAACAAGACACUGGACUUUGACUUGCUGUCAUCAGGGAAGGUCGAGUGAUCGAGAGGCAGAAGGAUAUCUCCAAACCACGAAAGGUGGAGAUCAGGAGAAGUACUGGAAAAGAUCGAGAGGCAGAAGGAUAUCUCCAAACCACGAAAGGUGGAGAUCAGGAGAAGUACUGGAAAAGAGAUUCUGCAGAACCUAAACGACGAGGUAAGAGCUGCAGGGAUUGUGCACUGUCAUGUGGGUGGACACAUUAACACUAUUGCAUAUAUCAGUCUCCAUUCAGAUGCAGCCUCCCUUGUUUGUAAUAACAAUCAACCAGAAAUAAAGUGUUAUUUUUGAGUUAUAAUGCUUUGAUUUUCAAAAAACAAUCAAACAAACAAAAACAUAACUUGUAGUCUGUUUAUGUGCCCAGACCUGAAAAAUAUUUCCAUAAUAUAGCUAAAAAGGAAGCUGGUUUCUGUAGAAUCCAAUCAAUUAUGAAUACUGGUUUGAAGUCAUUAUAUAUAUGUGUGUCUGUGUGUGUGUGUGUGUGUGUGUGUGUGUGUGUUAGUUUUAUUUUGUAUGUUCUACUUAUUGCGUACGUACCUAUUAUUACACGUAGUACUUAACGCGCAUGAACGUAAUAUGCGUUAUAAGUGUUGUUUAUGUUUAGAGGAAAGCGUGCGUAUGCACUGUAAUAAUCUCUAAAAUAGCAGGAGACGUAACUUGGGGGAGAAGAAUGGUUGAGUAAAUUGUUAUUUUUGUUUUCUUUGCGCAAAAAAAAAAAGUAUUCUUGUAGCAUCACAAAACUGAAGUUGAGCAACUAAUGUCACAUGGACUGUUUUACCAAUGUAUUAACUAUGUUUCUGGACCUGAGAACAUUUCAGUUCAGAUUUCAUCAAAAAAUAUCUUACUUUAUGUUCCGAAGAUGAACAAAAGUUCUUACGGCUUUGGAACGACAUGAGGGUGAGUAAUUAAUGACAUCAUUUUCAUUUUGGGGUGAACUAACCCUUUAAUCUAAUGGCUGAUAAACUGAUAAAAUAGCCAUAUCAAAAAUACUAUUUCUAUUUAAAUAAAAUAAAAUAAAAUAAAUAACUUUAAAUAGCUACAACUAAAUAGUAGGCAUCAAAACAACAGCGAUGUGAUGAAAGAGAAGAAUGGUUGAGUAAAUUGUUAUUUUUGUUUUCUUUGCGCAAAAAAAAAAGUAUUCUUGUAGCAUCACAAAACUGAAGUUGAGCAACUAAUGUCACAUGGACUGUUUUACCAAUGUAUUAACUAUGUUUCUGGACCUGAGAACAUUUCAGUUCAGAUUUCAUCAAAAAAUAUCUUACUUUAUGUUCCGAAGAUGAACAAAGUUCUUACGGCUUUGGAACGACAUGAGGGUGAGUAAUUAAUGACAUCAUUUUCAUUUUGGGGUGAACUAACCCUUUAAUCUAAUGGCUGAUAACUGAUAAAUAGCCAUAUCAAAAAUCUAUUUCAUUUAAAUAAAUAAAUAAAUAAAUACUUUAAAUGCUACAACUAAAUGUAGGCAUCAAAACACAGCGAUGUGAUGAAAGAUGGAUUUUUUUUCAUGUGCCGUAUGAAAGGUAUUUUCAGUACUUUCAUUUUUAGAUCUGCUUACUAAUUUUUUGAUUUGAACUAAAUAGUAGGCAUCAAACACAGCGAUGUGAUGAAAGAUGGAUUUUUUUUUCUAUGUGCCGUAUGAAAGGUAUUUUUCAGUAACUUUCAUUUUUAGAUCUGCUACAAUUUUUUUGUAUUUGAAUGAAAAAAAUAGUAUGCAUGAACACAGCUCUGCAUGCACUCUACAAGAGAUGAAGCACUUAAAGGGUUAUAUUUUUAAUAUCUCUAUCCUGCAAGUUGAGUAUCUUGAGUAUAUUAAUCUUACUAAAUGAAUCUGAAUCUAAAAGGGAAACUGAACCCAAACUCCAGUUUCCUAUCUUAUGUACUGAUCUAGAAAUUUUUGCUUGUGUGAUAAAUAAAUAAAUAUAUAUAUAUAUAUAUAUAUAUACAUAUACACACACUAGUCAACAUUUGAAGUGGAUCAAAACCUUUCAUCAAAGUUGUCCUAAAACCCAAAUGCGUUCUUGUCUUAGGACAACUUUGAUGAAAAAGUAUUGUUCAUUCUCGAGAUUUUUGAGAUUUUUGAGUUAACUAAUGUUAACUAAUGGAACCUUAUUGUAAAGUGUUACCCUUAUGAUUUUUCGUUGAUGUAAAUUUUAUUUUAUUCUAACAUUAUUUUAAUCAGUUUGAUGAUCGAUCAGUACUAAAAUUAUGUUAAUUAUUGUCAGAAAUAAUUUUGCUUAAAGGGGUCAUAUGAUGCGAUUUCAGAUUUUUCCUUUCUCUUUGGAGUGUUACAAGCUCUUGGUGAAUAAAGAAGAUCUGUAAAGUUGCAAAGACUAAAGUCUCAAAUCCAAAGAUAUAUUCUUUAUAAAAGUUAAGAGUAACAUUUCCGUCACAUGCUUGCGGAAUUUGGCCAAUCACAACACACUGGAUAGCUGGCCAAUCAGAGCACACCUAGCUUUUCAGAACGAUGAGCUUUGUAAAAAUCGAUGCGUUUCAGAAAGGCGGGGCAUAGAGGAGAAACAUUAAUGUACAGUAUGUGGAAAAUAAUGUAAACCUUAAACCGCAUAAACAUUUCAUUACACCAAAUACACAAAAUAAAGCUCUUUUUAGGAAUAUCAUAUGACCCCUUUAAUAUAUGGAUGUAGGAGCAUGGUCACAAGAGGGGCCAAAAAAAAAAAAAAAAUACCUUUACCUUUCUUUCUUAGUUCGUAUAUAUGCACAACGAUUUGUAGGCUAAUUCUGUGAACCAUCCUAUAAUCUCGUUUCUCACUUUUUUCAUAUCAGUGUUUGUGGAUAGUGAAAUUGAAAACUUAAAGCUUAUUUAAUCAUCAUCAUCUACUUGAGGUCUGAGUUCUAGUUCAAAAACUAUUUAGCAUUGAAGGUUGAUUGUUGUUAAGUUGUUUACUUUCAUUUGUUUUAUAGUAUUUCUCUACAGUGUUUUUACUGGGGUCAAAAACAGAAACCAAUUACUAAAAUAGAUACCAGCCACAGUAAUGAAAUAUGCAUUCAAAAAACAAGGGAAAAGUGUCAAUAUGGGUUUUGAAUAGGUCAAAUAAAGGGAAUGAACAUACAUUAAUUUGAAGGCAAAAUAAGAGAUUAGUUUAAAAACUAUUGUUAUUUAAUAUUACACAUACACCACCAUUCCAGUUUUGGGUGUUUUAAAUUUCAAAAACAGUUAAGACAGCAAUAUUUUGAAAUACUAUUACAAAUUUUAAAAAGUAAUUAAUUGCUGCAAUGGUAAAGCUGAAUUUUCAGCAUCAUUACUCCAGUCUUCAGUAUCACAUGGUCCUUAAGAGAUUAUUUUAAUAUGCUGAUUUGAUGCGCAAGAAACAUUUCUUAUUAUUAUCAAUGUUGAAAACAGCCGAGCUGCUUAAUAUUUUUGUGGAAACCAGCAGUAAAAAAAGGUAAAUGUCUUUACUGCUUUUAUCAAUUUAAAGUCCCUGCUGAAUAAAAUAAUUACUUUCUUUAAAAAUAAAUAAAUAAAUAAAUCACUCACCCAAAACUUGAAUGGUUUUGUUUAUUACUGGGCUUGGUGGAAACCCAAACAUGAAGUCAAACUGAACAGAACAUGAAGGUUAAGAUGCUAGGUUAUGAUUGUAAUGCCACUGAGUACCUCUUUAUUAUCAAGCUGAACCAAAUAUUGAAUUGUGCCUUGAUUUUUACUAAUUUUUCCUAAUGACCAGAACAUGUUUUUGAGAAUAAUUUAGACAUUUCUUAAUGCAUAUUAUCUUAUUUUUCUAUAUUAAUGUUUGACCUACUGUACAUUGUUAUAAGAUAUGAUAUUGAGUAUUUUUUUUACCUCUCUCUUGAAUGUCACUUCCACUGUCACUUUAACAAUUCUGUUCUUUUUUUCCUUGUGUGUCUUUUUAAUAAUAUAUCACAUAAUGCUGCAUAAGUGUGUUUUUCAGUUAUGUUUUUGUCAGUUACACAUUGUUAGUAUAUUACUAUAACAUGCAUAAAAAUACAAAUACAAAUACACCAUAUAAUACAAAAACUGUAUUGUUAAUUUGUAUUUGUUAACCAAAAAUAUUAUCAAUCCAAAAGUUUUUGUGUGUUCUUGUUCUGUAUUUCUCUUCUACUAUAUCAUUAAGAUGCCAGCAUUCCUGGAAAUGAAAAUAGUAAGAUUGCUCAAGCCAAUGCAACCUUUACCUGGGGGAAGGUCACCUUACUAAGGCCCAUUACAGGUUCAAUGGUCCAAAUCUCGGUUCUCCACUGACCCUGCGUCCUGUCACUCACUCCAGCCUCCACCUCUAUGGGGACACAUUCAUAAAGCUCCACCCUCUCACCGGUACUUUCCUCUGUUAACUAAACAUACCACCAC
rnacentral:lncRNA from 1 species